AUAACGGUCCUAAGGUAGCGAAAUUCCUUUUCGGGUAAGUUCCGACCUGCACGAAUGGCGUAACGACUUGGGCGCUGUCUCAACCAUGGACUCGGCGAAAUUGCAUUACGAGUAAAGAUGCUCGUUACGCGCAGCAGGACGGAAAGACCCCGGGACCUUUACUAUAGUUUGGUAUUGGUGAUUGGGACGGUUUGUGUAGGAUAGGUGGGAGACGUUGAUGCGGCCACGCUAGUGGUGGUGGAGUCGUUGGUGAAAUACCACUCUGAUUGUUCUGGUUAUCUCACUGUGGACCGUGAUCCGGUUCAAGGACAGUGCCUGAUGGGUAGUUUGACUGGGGCGGUCGCCUCCUAAAGGGUAACGGAGGCGCCCAAAGGUUCCCUCAGCCUGGUUGGUAAUCAGGUGGUGAGUGUAAGUGCACAAGGGGGCUUGACUGUGAGACUGACAGGUCGAGCAGGGACGAAAGUCGGGACUAGUGAUCUGACGGUGGCUUGUGGAUGCGCCGUCACUCAACGGAUAAAAGGUACCUCGGGGAUAACAGGCUGAUCUUGCCCGAGCGCUCAUAGCGACGGCAUGGUUUGGCACCUCGAUGUCGGCUC
rnacentral:rRNA from 13 species